rnacentral:rRNA from 1 species
UGGGGAAUAUUGGACAAUGGGCGAAAGCCUGAUCCAGCAAUGCCGCGUGAGUGAUGAAGGCCUUAGGGUUGUAAAGCUCUUUUACCAGGGAUGAUAAUGACAGUACCUGGAGAAUAAGCUCCGGCUAACUCCGUGCCAGCAGCCGCGGUAAUACGGAGGGAGCUAGCGUUGUUCGGAAUUACUGGGCGUAAAGCGCACGUAGGCGGCUACUCAAGUCAGAGGUGAAAGCCCGGGGCUCAACCCCGGAACUGCCUUUGAAACUAGGUAGCUAGAAUCUUGGAGAGGUCAGUGGAAUUCCGAGUGUAGAGGUGAAAUUCGUAGAUAUUCGGAAGAACACCAGUGGCGAAGGCGACUGACUGGACAAGUAUUGACGCUGAGGUGCGAAAGCAUGGGGAGCAAACAGGAUUAGAUACCCACGUAGUCCCUGAGCGGGCUGGCAAGGCGCAU